GCUGGGUGCAGUGGCGUGUGCCUGUAGUCCCAGCUACUCGGGAGGCUGAGGUGGGAGGAGUUCUGGGCUGUAGUGUGCUGUGCCGAUAUGGUGUCCGUACUAAGUUUGGCAUCAAUAUGGUAAUCUCCCGGGAGCAGGGGACCACGAGGUUGCUUAAGGAGGGAUGAACUGGCCAAGGUCAGAAAUGGAGCAGGUCAAAACUCCCAUGCUGAUCAGUAGUGGGAUUGUACCUAUGAAUAGCCACUGUGCUCCACCCUGGGCAACAUAGCAAGACCUCGUCUCUU
ensembl:misc_RNA Metazoa_SRP Metazoan signal recognition particle RNA